UACAAAAUGCGUAUACACCUUUAGCUUGCAUAGUUCCAUUUAAAGAACUACUCAGUACCGAAAUCAAAAUAUGCAUGGCUAAUUUGUUGAUGUUUUUGAUCAAUUAAAUAGCGUAAUCCUAUGUUUUUAUCGAACGUCGCUUCCACACAAAAACGACGCGCGCAUGCACUACAACAGCCCGGAAGUUAGCUACCGGAGAAAUCAUUGAUCAAAGUUAACACAUUUCCCAGCCUCAGCACCGUAAAUUAGUUGGAGUGCAAGUAAAAAGCAUUUAUGGAAAUAAUUUAGCACUAAUAAGUGCACAUUUCUAUGGUUGAUCAUAAUAACUAUCCAAGGACCAAAUGCAGUAAGUUAGAAAGCUCCCUUUACCUCCGAGGAAGAGUCCAAGAAUAAGGCAGGUAUCCACCACCCACAGAUGGAGGGGUUCGAUCUCGUGCCUGUAGACGGUGGCAGUCCUAUACACCUGCCCCUGGGGGAGACACUGCUGGGAAGGGGUCCAUUCCUCUGCGAGCUGGAAAUCGAGGCAGAGGAACCGCAACCCCAACCAUAAGCACCAAUCAGGGUACGGCCAAACGGGCCAGGGACGCAGCGCCCUUGUCAGGGGAGGAGGAAUCUGAACACAGCGAGCCGGAGCCAAGAGGGCAUUUAAAGCCAGGCAGCAGGUGAAGCCUAGUAAAGUAGAGGAGAGCGAGGAGUCGGACCACGUGGAGGAGGAGGAGGAUGAUGAAGAGGAGAAGAAGCUUCCACAGGGAAAGGCAGCAGCACUUCUACGAGCAGAGCGGAGGUCAGCGAGUCCGAGGAUAGAAGGAGACAGCCUCAGAGCAGAAGGUCGGCAAGGGGCCUCAGGGGUCAAGUGAAGUUUCAGGCCCCGCCCA